rnacentral:rRNA from 1 species
CCCGCUGAACUUAAGCAUAUCGAUAAGCGGAGGAAAAGAAACUAGCAUGGAUUCCCUUAGUAUCUGCGAGUGAAGUGGGAAGAGCUCAAAUUUAGAAUCUGGCAGUCACUUGGCUGUCCGAGUUGUAAUCUAAAGAAGUGUUGCCCGUGCUGUACCAUGUACAAGUCUCCUGGAAUGGAGCAUCACAGAGGGUGAGAAUCCUGUCUUUGACAUGGAUUGCCACUGCUUUUGUGGUAUGCUCUCAAAGAGUCGAGUUGUUUGGGAAUGCAGCUCAAAAUGGGUGGUAAAUGCCAUCUAAACCUAAAUAUUGGCGACAGUACCGAUAGUGAACAAGUUCCGUGAGGGAAAGUUGAAAAGAACUUUGGAAAGAGAGUUAAACAGUACGUGAAAUUGCUGAAAGGGAAACGCUUGAAGUCAGUCACGUUGACUUGGAAUCAUCUCUGCUUUUGCUGGGUGUACUUUCUUGUCAAUGGGUCAGCAUCAAUUUUGACCAUUGGAUAAAGUUGCUGGGAAUGUAGCAUCCUUAUGUAUGUGUUAUAGCCUGGUGAUGCAUACAGUGGUUGGGAUUGAGGAAUUCAGCACGCCAUCAGGCCGGGUUUUGUCCACGUUCGUUCUUAGGAUGCUGGCAUAAUGGCUUUAAUUGAACCGUCUUGAAACACGG